rnacentral:rRNA from 1 species
AUUGAACGCUGGCGGCAUGCCUUACACAUGCAAGUCGAACGGUAACAGGUCUUCGGAUGCUGACGAGUGGCGAACGGGUGAGUAAUACAUCGGAACGUGCCUAGUAGUGGGGGAUAACUACUCGAAAGAGUGGCUAAUACCGCAUGAGAUCUACGGAUGAAAGCAGGGGAUCGCAAGACCUUGUGCUACUAGAGCGGCCGGUGGCAGAUUAGGUAGUUGGUGGGAUAAAAGCUUACCAAGCCGACGAUCUGUAGCUGGUCUGAGAGGACGAUCAGCCACACUGGGACUGAGACACGGCCCAGACUCCUACGGGAGGCAGCAGUGGGGAAUUUUGGACAAUGGGCGCAAGCCUGAUCCAGCAAUGCCGCGUGCAGGAUGAAGGCCUUCGGGUUGUAAACUGCUUUUGUACGGAACGAAAAGCCCCGGGUUAAUACCCUGGGGUCAUGACGGUACCGUAAGAAUAAGCACCGGCUAACUACGUGCCAGCAGCCGCGGUAA